rnacentral:rRNA from 1 species
AUGAACGCUGGCGGCGUGGCUAAGGCAUGCAAGUCGCACGGAUCAUUAUUUGUAGCAAUACUUAGAGUGAUUAGUGGCAAACGGGUGCGUAACACAUUGGUAACCUACCUCCCAGUCGGGCACAACACCGCGAAAGCGGUGCUAAUUCCACGAUGGUCUCUUUCGAGCGAAAGCAAAGAAGAGUAAAGCGCAAAACGCGCUGGGAGAGGGGCCUAUGGCCCAUCAGCUAGUUGGUAAGGUAACGGCUUACCAAGGCUAUGACGGGUAGGGGGUGUGAGAGCACGACCCCCCUCACUGGGACUGAGACACUGCCCAGACACCUACGGGUGGCUGCAGUCGCGAAUAUUCCCCAAUGGACGCAAGUCUGAGGGAGCGACGCCGCGUGUGGGAUGACGGGUUUCGACUCGUAAACCACUUUUGUCGAGGAAGAAUUCUGACGGUACUCGAAGAAUAAGAAGUUGCUAACUCUGU